GAACGCUAUCGGUAUGCUUAACACAUGCAAGUUGAACGGAUUAUUUAGGGCUUGCUCUAAAUAAUUAGUAGCAAACGGGUGAGUAACACGUGGGAAUCUACCCAUCAGUACGGAAUAACAUUUAGAAAUAAAUGCUAAUACCGUAUAUUCUCUUAGGAGGAAAGAUUUAUCGCUGAUGGAUGAGCCCGCGUCAGAUUAGGUAGUUGGUAGGGUAAUGGCCUACCAAGCCAACGAUCUGUAGCUGGUCUGAGAGGAUGAUCAGCCACACUGGGACUGAGACACGGCC
rnacentral:rRNA from 1 species